CAGGCUCGCUCUUCCCGUUCUCUGGAAAGUGAGGGAGCCAGACAGCCACAUGGAGAGGUCACACACAGGUGAUCUGACCAACCGUUCCAGCAGAGGAGGUCCUGGCUGACAGCUGCCACCCACCACCAGAGAGGCUUCAAGCUCUUCCCCACUCAGAGCCUUAGUGUUCGAUCCUCUGCUCUGGAAAUGGCUUCAAAGAACACCCGACCUAAGCAGAAGCCUCCAUGCCUUCAUGGCCCAUUAAUGCUGCUGUGGUGUGGCUGGACAUCAGCCAGGCUGUAGGACACCAAACAUCUGGAUACUGAGAAGGCUUCAAGGGCUGCUGCCGAAGGACAGUGUCAGGGCUGGGGGAAAGGGACAUGACAGCAGACUUUCAUCACCAGUGACCCAAGACUUGGUCUGGCAUGCACACCAAACCAUUCCUGAUGUGAAGUAGUGAGGUCAGCUUGGGUGUACAUUCUGAGCUGUAGGCCAUGCCUGGAGGGGAGCAAGAUGUCUCCCUGGGAAGAGACCGUGGAACAGAUCUGUGGAAGAAGCAAUGGCCAAAUGGUUAUGGAUGAACAGAUGAGGCUGUGAUGGGGGAGGGGAAGACAGUCCUCAGCCGGGUGCUACUGGGAUGGGCA